rnacentral:tRNA from 1 species
GGUCGGUGGCUUAGUGAGUGUUUUCAGGGGGUCACCCUUGGGUUGACACCUGCUUUGGGAGCAGGGGGCCGCGGGUUCAAAUCCCGCCAGCCCGACCG